rnacentral:rRNA from 1 species
AUCCGCGCUGCAUUAGCUAGUUGGUAAGGUAACGGCUUACCAAGGCAACGAUGCAUAGCCGACCUGAGAGGGUGAUCGGCCACACUGGAACUGAGACACGGUCCAGACUCCUACGGGAGGCAGCAGUAGGGAAUCUUCCGCAAUGGGCGAAAGCCUGACGGAGCAACGCCGCGUGAGUGAUGAAGGUCUUCGGAUCGUAAAACUCUGUUAUUAGGGAAGAACAUAUGUGUAAGUAACUGUGCACAUCUUGACGGUACCUAAUCAGAAAGCCACGGCUAACUACGUGCCAGCAGCCGCGGUAAUACGUAGGUGGCAAGCGUUAUCCGGAAUUAUUGGGCGUAAAGCGCGCGUAGGCGGUUUUUUAAGUCUGAUGUGAAAGCCCACGGCUCAACCGUGGAGGGUCAUUGGAAACUGGAAAACUUGAGUGCAGAAGAGGAAAGUGGAAUUCCAUGUGUAGCGGUGAAAUGCGCAGAGAUAUGGAGGAACACCAGUGGCGAAGGCGACUUUCUGGUCUGUAACUGACGCUGAUGUGCGAAAGCGUGGGGAUCAAACAGGAUUAGAUACCCUGGUAGUCCACGCCGUAAACGAUGAGUGCUAAGUGUUAGGGGGUUUCCGCCCCUUAGUGCUGCAGCUAACGCAUUAAGCACUCCGCCUGGGGAGUACGACCGCAAGGUUGAAACUCAAAGGAAUUGACGGGGACCCGCACAAGC